CAGCCACCUCGGUAGCUCGCUAGACAACAACGUCGGAACAUUCAAGUUUUUUAGACAAUUUCGUGGUUUAUUUGCCACUAUGAUUUAAACAUACUUAUGUGGAAACAACUAGAUACCACAUUUAAUACCCCAUUUAAUUUAAUAUUUACGUUUAAGUCAACUUGCUGGCUGGUUAAGUUAGCACUAAUACUAAUACUAAUACUAAUACUAAUACUCGCUAAUACUAACUAGCUAUUAUUUCCGAACAUGAGUUCACUAAGCUACUCUCCUCCUGUUAAAGAAGAGGGGGUCUGCUGGACGGAGAAAGAAGCUCUCGUGAAAGAGGAGGAAGAGGAGGCUGUUACAAUACAAAAACAAGUAGAGGGUGAGGCUAUUACCGUGAAAGAAGAAGAGAAAGACGCCUUCAGAGUGGAGAAUGAAGACAUUUUUGGCAUGAAGAAUGAAGAGGGGGAGAUUACUGUCACAUUAGAGGAGGACGAAGACUGGAGAUCUGAUUAACACCAGUAAAUACAGAGAGAGACGGGACUACCGUGGGUCCUCUGGGGAGCCUCAACAACCUCAUGACGCUGACGAGGCAGAGAAGAGUCUCUCCACAUUAGAACACCCCAAGAAACACCUGCAGAGAUCCACAGGGAAGAGAACUCUCUGCUGUUCUGACUGUGGGAAGAGAUUCACCUCAUCAGGCAUUACAAUUCAUCAGCGAACACACACAGGGGUGAAAUCUUAUAGCUGUGAUCAAUGUGGGAAGAGUUUUACUACAUCUGGCUCUCUGACGUUACACCAGAGAACACACACAGGAGAGAAACCUUAUAGCUGUACUCAAUGUGGGAAGAGUUUUACUCAGCUCAGCAGCCUAAUAACACACCAGAGAAUACACACAGGAGAGAAACCUUAUAGCUGUACUCAAUGUCGGAAGAGUUUUACUAAUCCAUCCGGCCUGAUAUCACACCAGAGAACACACACAGGAGAGAAACCUUAUAGCUGUACUCAAUGUGGGAAGAGGUUUACUCAACAAAGCAACCUGAUAUCACACCAGAGAAUACACACAGGAGAGAAAUCCUAUAGCUGUGAUGAAUGUGGGAAGAGUUUUGCCCAAUCUGGAGCACUGACAGUGCACCAGAGAGUACACACAGGAGAUAAACCUUAUAGCUGUGGUCAAUGUGGGAAGAGUUUUGGUCAAUCUGGAGAUCUGAGAGUGCACCAGAGAACACACUUAGGAGAGAGACCUUAUAGCUGUGAUCAAUGUGGGAAGAGUUUUUCCCAAUCUGGAGCGCUGACAGUGCACCAGAGAAUACACACAGGAGAGAAACCUUAUAGCUGUAGUCAAUGUGGGAACAGUUUUGCUGCAUCAAGAACUCUGACUCAACACCAGAGAAUACACACAAGAGAGAAAUCCUUUGUCUGUGAAUAAUGUGGGAAGAGUUUUGGUCAAUCUGGCCAUCUGGUAUCACACCAGAGAGCACACACAGGAGAGAAAUCUUAUAGCUGUGAUCAGUGUGCCAAGAGAUACUUUAAUAAAAGAUCUCUGAUCAAACAUCAGAAAAUACAUACAUGAAUGAGUUAUUUCAUGAUACCAAUGAAAACAUGACACAAUGUAGAAUGUUUUAACAUUGUAGAGGACGUAUUUUAAUGACGUCACAAUGUAGAACCCUAAACAUUUGUCCCCUGUUCUAUUGAUUUAAGGAUGUACACAUUACUCCCAGAUUCAGUGUGGUUUUUGAGCUGUUAGCUUUAACAGGACAUGCAACCCCAUCUCUCUCCUCUUCCACAAAUUAUUUUAGCAUGAUAUCGAUGAGUUAUAACAAAUAAGUGUUGUGUUCCUUUGUUUAGUGACUCCUAAAUUUAAAUGCCUCACUCCAAAAUGUAGCUGACUGUCUUCUGCAGGUUGUCCUCUAACCAGUGAGGUGAAAUAUAUCUCCCAUUUCCAUGUGUUUGUUUGUGUUAGUUUCAACAGCACGUACAACCUAAUUUCCCCUCUAAUCAAUAUCAGUGAUUUAUUGCUACUUGUCAAAACAACAGUGUUUUUGGUGCUUGUGCAGUUUAUAAGGAGCUUGUUUUAAAAAUUACAAGUAAUAUGAUUAUUGUGGCAGAUGUUUGUGUAUAUAGCACAUUUUAUGUUUAGGUUUUCAAUUUAUCCCAAACUGUUUCUGCAUAUUGGUUAUUGGUUUGGAGACAUUAAAACUGUGUUUUGACAUUGGGGAUAUC